UCUUUAUAAAGCAACAACAGUCACUACCUAGCCUCUAGUAGCGCAGCAAUAUAUUGUACAGGAACAGAGGGAAAUGGCAUGUACUGAAAAUCCAGCAAAAAUGGAAAUUGGUACAAAAACUGAGACACAAAAGGUUGUGAUGCUAAAUGAAGCUAAGGAAAGACCAGCAGUUCGAAAAAGCAGAAGCAAGCCAACUUUGAGAGUCCAAAAAAGUCAAACAGUUGUGAAAGGAAUACCAGAGCCAGAUGGCGACAACAUUGAUUACAAACUCCGGUUCGAUGAAAAACAAUGAAAAAUUCCAAUAUUUGUAAUUAAGUGUACUUUUAAACAUAAACUACAUGAUAAUGCUCUUUUGUAAUAACAAUUACCUUUAAAAAUCUAAUUUGAUAUAGUUCUAAUCAGUUAACUGGA